UGAGUUGUUUUGAGUGAGAAUCGUUAGCUUCCUAAGGCCCAGUUGGUUGAUAUAUUUUGCUUUUCAUUUAGGCUUUAUAAAUGAUACAAAACAAAGGCAGACACCGAGAUUGCGUGUUGAUAAAUACAGGCACUGCUGGGACUCCCUCCAGCUUCUGCACAGCGGGAAUCCAAAGAUUCGCAGGCAUCUUUCUUGCAAACAACAGUGGUACAACAAAUUCAAAGAUGGCCACACAUCAGUGGAGAAUGAAGCACAUUCUAGUAGGCCCUCAACAUCCAGAAAUGAGAUCAUCAUUGACCAAAUGAGGACCCUGGUGAUGCAAGAUUGUAAAACUUGGAGAUGAGGCAAGCAUCAGCAUUGGAUCCAUCUAUUCUAUUUGACUGAGGAUUUGUGCUUCAGGAGAAUCUCAGUGAUGUUCUUGCUAAAGCUGCUAAUGAUCGAGCAGAAGCAACUGUUUGGAGAUUGCACAGAAUGUGCUGAGACUGUGAAAAGUGAUCCCAACUUUCUCAACACAAUGAUCACUGGUGAUGAGUCCUGGGUUUGACCCAGAAACCAAGUUACAGUCAUUACAAUGGAAGCAUCCAACAUCCCCAAACCCAAAAAAGCAAGUCAAGCAAGGAAGGUCCACAAAGUCAUGUUAACCGUCUUCUUUGACUCCAGUGGUGUGGUUCACCAUGAAUACAUGCCACACAGCACACUCAUCCCCAAGAGGUUCUGUGUCACCUACAUUCUGCUGUGAGACACAAAUGGCCAGACCUGUGGGCAGUGGGCAAUUGGCAGCUCCAUCACAAUAAUGCACCCACCCAUUCUUUGCAUUUGAUACAAAGUUUCCUGGCCAAACACAGCACACAUGUGCUUUGUGAGGCUCCCUAGUCUCCUGACAUAGCUCUGUGUGACUUCUGGCUUUUCCCCAAGCUGAAAAUGUCCUUGAAAGGAAUCAGAUUUCGGUCCAGAGAAGACAUCAUGCAGAAUGCAAUGGACCAGCUACACACCAUCUCAAAAGAGGAGUUUCCGCGCUGCUUCUGAUAGUGGCAGAACCAUAGGGAGAAGCGUGUGGCCACCCAAGGGGGCUAUUUUGAAGGCAAUUAGUGUAAGACUGUUGUAUCUUAAUACAAAUAUUUUUAAAUAUAAAUAAAGGAUACUUGUUGAACACAACUCAUAUGCUGCAUUUUAAAGUAUGGACAUAGUCUGUUCACAAAGCUGUACUACCUAUAAAAUCCACAAGAAGGCAAUAUUACACACUGCUAAAUCACAAUAACAGCACUUUCAUUUGUUGUACAAGUUCAAGGUUGCUGAAUGUUCCUUUCCUAGUUACAAUAACUCGAUUGAAAGUUGAGUCCUACAUUCUUCUGCAUGCAACAAAGCCCAUUUUUUUCUUAAAAUGUUUUAUUUGUUUUAUAUAAUCCUAUUCAUGUUUUGUAUGAUAAACCUUGAG
rnacentral:lncRNA from 11 species